AUGCACGCUGGCGGCGUGCCUCAUACCUGCAAGUCGAGCGAACGGACUAGAAGCUUGCUUCUCUGAUGUUAGCGGCGGACGGGUGAGUAACACGUGGAUAACCUACCUAUAAGACUGGGAUAACUUCGGGAAACCGGAGCUAAUACCGGAUAAUAUUUUGAACCGCAUGGUUCAAAAGUGAAAGACGGUCUUGCUGUCACUUAUAGAUGGAUCCGCGCUGCAUUAGCUAGUUGGUAAGGUAACGGCUUACCAAGGCAACGAUGCAUAGCCGACCUGAGAGGGUGAUCGGCCACACUGGAACUGAGACACGGUCCAGACUCCUACGGGAGGCAGCAGUAGGGAAUCUUCCGCAAUGGGCGAAAGCCUGACGGAGCAACGCCGCGUGAGUGAUGAAGGUCUUCGGAUCGUAAAACUCUGUUAUUAGGGAAGAACAUAUGUGUAAGUAACUGUGCACAUCUUGACGGUACCUAAUCAGAAAGCCACGGCUAACUACGUG
rnacentral:rRNA from 1 species